GAAAUACAUGUUGCAUCCAGUAAUGCCAUUUCGCAGAAUGUAUUACUGAUACUCAUUAUAUCGUUGUUGGUGUAACAGAAGAGAAACACAUUGGACUUGAGAGAAUAUUUAUGACGCUAAAAGUACUUACAUUCUUCAUUGGUCUCGAUGAGACAGGCGUGAAGAUCUCAAUAAGAUCACAUUUCAAACAAUGAGACAUACUUUCGGAAAACAUACUGAAAUAAAAAUCUAUGAGGCUAUA